ACGCUCGACACCUACGUGAGGCAGCAGUGGGGAAUAUUGCACAACGGGGGAAACCCUGAUGCAGCGACGCCGCGUGAGCGAAGAAGUAUUUCGGUAUGUAAAGCUCUAUCAGCAGGGAAGAUAAUGACGGUACCUGACUAAGAAGCUCCGGCUAAAUACGUGCAGCAGCCGCGGUAAUCUGAGGCGGGCUGGCAAGGC
rnacentral:rRNA from 1 species